rnacentral:ncRNA from 2 species
UAAAUAUAGUUUCUCCGAGUUUGCAUUUCUAAAGCUUAAAUGCUAUGAGUGCAAACCGAUACGGUAGUUUUGGAAACGAAACUGCCCCCUAUUUGGAAAGGAGGAAAUUGUAUGAGGUU